GAUGAACGCUAGCUACAGGCUUAACACAUGCAAGUCGAGGGACCGGCGCACGGGUGAGUAACACGUAACCAACCUGCCCUUUACUCGGUGAUAGCCUUUAGAAAGAAAGAUUAAUACCCGAUAUAAAGGAUGGUGAUGCGUUCGAUUAGGUGGUUGGUGAGGUAACGGCUCAGCAAGCCGUCGAUGGAUAGGGGUUCUGAGAGGAAGGUCCCCCACAUUGGAACUGAGACACGGUCCAAACUCCUACGCGAGGCAGCAGUGAGUAAGAUUGGUCAAUGGGCGCUAGCCUGAACCAGCCAAGUAGCGUGAAGGAUGAAGGCUUUUGAGUCGUAAACUUCUUUUAUAUAAGAAUAUGUAUUAGAUGAAUAAGGAUCGGCUAACUACGUGCCAGCAGCCGCGGUAAUUC
rnacentral:rRNA from 1 species